GGGAUAACUAUUGGAAACGAUAGCUAAUACCGCAUAAGAUUGAAUAUCGCAUGAUAAUUGAUUAAAAGAUGCAAAUGCAUCACUACCAGAUGGACCUGCGUUGCAUUAGCUAGUAGGUGAGGUAACGGCUCACCUAGGCGACGAUACAUAGCCGACCUGAGAGGGUGAUCGGCCACACUGGGACUGAGACACGGCCCAGACUCCUACGGGAGGCAGCAGUAGGGAAUCUUCGGCAAUGGGGGCAACCCUGACCGAGCAACGCCGCGUGAGUGAAGAAGGUUUUCGGAUCGUAAAGCUCUGUUGUAAGAGAAGAACGAGUGUGAGAGUGGAAAGUUCACACUGUGACGGUAUCUUACCAGAAAGGGACGGCUAACUACGUGCCAGCAGCCGCGGUAAUACGUAGGUCCCGAGCGUUGUCCGGAUUUAUUGGGCGUAAAGCGAGCGCAGGCGGUUAGAUAAGUCUGAAGUUAAAGGCUGUGGCUUAACCAUAGUACGCUUUGGAAACUGUUUAACUUGAGUGCAGAAGGGGAGAGUGGAAUUCCAUGUGUAGCGGUGAAAUGCGUAGAUAUAUGGAGGAACACCGGUGGCGAAAGCGGCUCUCUGGUCUGUAACUGACGCUGAGGCUCGAAAGCGUGGGGAGCGAACAGGAUUAGAUACCCUGGUAGUCCACGCCGUAAACGAUGAGUGCUAGGUGUUAGGCCCUUUCNCGGGGCUUAGUGCCGUAGCUAACGCAUUAAGCACUCCGCCUGGGGAGUACGA
rnacentral:rRNA from 1 species